UGCAAGCUAUGAUGAAUAUUGUUAAUCGUUACUGAGGUAACUAUGAUUAUUAUCUAAACAUAUCACCAUCUUUCGGCUGAGAUUGCA
rnacentral:snoRNA from 1 species